GUGAGGGGCCAAACUGAGCCGUGACUAUACUGCAUGUCUGCUUGUGGAGUCCGCUGUGGGAAACAUGUCGAGGGAUCGGGAAUGGCGGUUUGACGAGCCGUGAGACCUGGCACUGGUGGGGAGGGGCCUCGCGGGCACGGCGGAGCGGCGAUGGAUGCCGAUGGGGUGACCGGUGCGGUUCCCACUCCGGGUGGAUUUCGCGGACUGCUUGGAGCAGCCAGAUCCGGUCCCUCUGGUGCUGCUGCCGCCGCGUGUGGAAGCGUCGGCUGCGUGCAACUAUUAGGGAAAUGCAGCCAGGUCUGGAUUCGUUGGCUGGAGGACCAGAUUGCAUUGUGGACAGGUGGAUGAUGAUACGAGGGGGCCCGGACUACUGGUGGCAGCCAACCUACUAAUGCACUAGCAGGAGCACCCCCUGGACAAGGCGCUGUGCCUAAUCCCGGUCUGCUCCUCUUCCAGCCUUUCCCUAGCAAAACAUGUGGCUUAUCUCCAGGUAAUCGGUUCCAUCUCUCCAGAUCACGAAGGAUUCAGAUCUAUUGCUUGUUGAAUUUAGAGUGAAUUCCAUUUUUUACCUUGUAGUUGUACAUUUGUGACACAUAUUACCCUAUUUAGUGGAACUUUUAUCAAAAUGUCAGAUUUUGGAGACUUUUAACACGGUUUUAUCCCAGUUUUACAUUUUGUUUGUUUAUGGUCGAUAGGAUCGGCAUGUUGCGUCAUUGAUUCGUAAAAAAAACUGUAAGGAUCGGAGGGCAUCAUUGGCGAUCUUGUCCAAGCUUCUCUUGUCUAUCUGUUCCACUCCUUGUGGCCGUCCACAUGUUUUUGGAUACAGGGCGUCACCUCACACCUUACCUGAUGGACACGCAUCAAAAAACGAGGGUCCAAAGAUUUUAAAAGGGGUAUUCUAGACGAAUUUUCACUCGAAGGGGUAAUUAGUGUCACAAAUGUAUAAAUAUGGGGUAAAAAGUGGAAUUCACUCUUGAAUUUACAAGUCAAUUGGUUUGUUGGUUUAUUCUUGCCUAGGAUUAUUGGGCGAGUUUAUUUGAAAAUUAGUACUGGGUUGAAUGAGUAUGGACUAUAGUUGUAACAACAGUUUACAAGUUGAAGAACCAGCAACAACUCGCAAGUUCAUUCUUUGCAAAUUAAUUAAAUUACCCCAGUGAAUCA